UUCCGGUUGAUCCUGCCGGAGGUCACUGCUAUCGGGGUUCGAUUAAGCCAUGCGAGUCGAGAGGGUUCAGACCCUCGGCGGACUGCUCAGUAACACGUGGAUAAUCUGCCCUAUGGUGGAGGAUAACCCCGGGAAACUGGGGAUAAUACUCCAUAAGUCAGGAGUACUGGAAUGUCUCCUAACUGAAAGUUUCGGCGCCAUAGGAUGAAUCUGCGGCCGAUUAGGUAGUUGUUGGGGUGACGGCCCAACAAGCCCGUAAUCGGUACGGGUUGUGGGAGCAAGAGCCCGGAGAUGGAAUCUGAGACACGAUUCCAGGCCCUACGGGGCGCAGCAGGCGCGAAAACUUUACAAUGCAGGAAACUGUGAUAAGGGAACCCCGAGUGCCCGUACACGCGGGCUGUCCCGGUGUUUAAAACACAUCGGAAGAAAGGGCCGGGCAAGACCGGUGCCAGCCGCCGCGGUAAUACCGGCGGCUCGAGUGGUGACCACUUUUAUUGGGCUUAAAGCGUUCGUAGCUUGAUUUUUAAGUCUCUUGGGAAAUCUCACGGCUUAACUGUGAGGCGUCUAAGGGAUACUGGGAAUCUAGGGACCGGGAGAGGUAAGAGGUACUUCAGGGGUAGAAGUGAAAUUCUGUAAUCCUUGAGGGACCACCGAUGGCGAAGGCAUCUUACCAGAACGGCUUCGACAGUGAGGAACGAAAGCUGGGGGAGCGAACGGGAUUAGAUACCCCGGUAGUCCCACCCGUAAACUAUGCGCGUUAGGUGUGCCUGUAACUACGAGUUACCGGGGUGCCGAAGUGAAAACGUGAAACGUGCCGCCUGGGAAGUACGGUCGCAAGGCUGAAACUUAAAGGAAUUGGCGGGGGAGCACCACAACGGGUGGAGCCUGCGGUUUAAUUGGAUUCAACGCCGGG
rnacentral:rRNA from 1 species